AUGAUCACAAAUUUAAUUGGUCUAUAAAUGAAGUAUAAUAUAAUGAAAAUAUUUGUGAUUUAUCAAUAAAUAAUACAUUGUUAUGAGUUAAAUGUGUGAUUGAGAAUUUUAAAGUUAUAGACAGUGAUGUUGUGCCACGAUGCAGCAUUUGCUCAGUGCAGACAUCCGACUUGUAGAGGUGAGUGUAUGUUGAAGGGGGUCGAGCAGAUGUGGGUUAGGUUAUGUGGGCUACUGUCAGCCAGUGGAGUGACAAAAACCCUCCCCUUAUUUGAGCAGACAUAAAAGGAAAAUGAGACAUUGUGUUCGUUCUUGUUCCGUCCCAAGAUGCAUCUUCAAGUCUCCAUUGUUCUUCUUUUCAUUCUUCUCACUGGAGGAUUCUCUCUGAGCUGUUAUGAAUGCCGGAAUCAACAACAAGCUCGUUAUUGUUCAGAGACGACAUGUUCCAAUGCCAAUUGCAGAACUACAAAAUCAGUAGAAUACUUCGGACCCUAUAGAGAAGAGGCAGAUAACUGGCAACGGGAACGGGACAGGAUCCCGAGCCGGAUUAAGAACAAACACGCUGCAUGUCCCGGCAAAGGCAUAAGGGAGGAAACCAAUUCUAGAGGGUGUGCUAAGCCACAUGAAUGUAAAAGCUGGUCUCUUGGCACAGGCUGCUGGACAAGAGAAUAUAUUUCCGAAUGCUGUGACACCUACCUUUGCAAUCGACAAGUUUCAGGUUCAUUCUCUCAUAAGCUCAAUGGGAAGAGAUGCUUCACUUGUGAUGAAGAGGACUGCUCAAAAACAAUCAGUUGUUGGGGGAAUGAAGACUACUGCUUUACUGCAUUCGAACCUUCUUCACAUCAGUCAGCGGCUACAAAAGGAUGUGCAUCGAAAUUUGCCUGUGAUCAAGAGCCAGGAAAGAUUGUAGGAUUUGUGGAAAGCCUUCCCAGAAGAGUUGAAGCUGUUGGAGCUGCAAAGGGAUUCUCUCUGAGCUGUUAUGAAUGCCGGAAUCAACAACAAGCUCAUUAUUGUUCAAAGACGACGACAUGUUACACUGCCAAUUGCAGAACUACAAAAUCAGUAGAAUACUUUGGACCCUAUAGAGAAGAGGCAGAUAACUGGCAACGGGAACGGGACAGGAUCCCGAGCCGGAUAAAGUACAAACACGCUGCAUGCCCCGGCAAAGGCAUAACGGAGGAAACCAUAUCUUAUGGGUGUGCUUUGCCACAUGAAUGUAAAAGCUGGUCUCUUGGCACAGGCUGCUGGAUAAGAGAACAUAGUUCCAAAUGCUGCAACACCAACCUUUGCAAUCGACAAUCUUCAGAAACAGAUGAAACUGAGACAAACUAAAUCCAGGAGAACUGUGGCCGUGUCUCCAAAUGCUUGAAGAAACCGACCUGCAAAGCUACAGUACUGUGAAGAGUUUUAGGCACUUGUGUAAAAAUGCUGUAAAGUGAGGAUGCUUUCAAAAAUAAUGUCAUAAAUGGAUUUUAUUUAUGAGAUCAGAUCUCCGUGUGGAGCACUGGCUGUUGUCAGACUUAUUGUGCAUUAAAAAAAUCUCACUGGAUUAUUACAAAUAAUGGCAAAAUGAACGAUUGGAAAUGUGAACUGAUAAUUCCUACUGACACACUACAGCAAAAGAUAUAAAUAACUGGCUUAAAACCCUUUUUGGGGGUGAAAAUACUGACGUGCCUAAGACUUUUGCACACUUUUUUUCAAUGCACUUUAAUGUAAAUCCCACAGCUGAUGUGUAGUUUGAUUGCAAUGUUAUAUUUUUUAAUAAAGAAAUAAAAAGAAAAUUUUUCUUGCAGUUUCGUUCUCUCAUAUCCCCAAUGGGAAGAGAUGUUUCACUUGUGAUGAAGAGGACUGCUCAAAAACAAUCAGUUGUUGGGGGAAUGAAGACUACUGCUUUACUGCAUACGAACCUUCUUCACAUCAGUCAGCGGCUACGAAAGGAUGU